UCUUUUUCUUCUUAGAUUCUGAGUUGAGAUUCAUCUUGUGGGUCGUUUCAAUCUGUGUGGCUCGAGGUUAGACCUGCGGGAAAAACAAAUGAACGAAAUUUUCUGCCCCAGUUUCACUAGGAAAAUUUCGUGAAUUAUUCGCCAGGAAGUUCAUAACAUUGAUGAAAGAGGAUAUGCAUGCUCAGUUCAGGGUUGGAGCCCUAAUAUCGACUAGCUGGGGAAAGGUUCAGUUUAGAGUUGAAACUCUAAUACUGACCAACUGGGGAAAAGUUCAGUUUAGGGUUUAAAACCCUAAUGCUGACCUAAAGAAAAAUUCAGUUUAGGGUUUAAAACCCUAAUGCUAACUAAAGGAAAAGUUCAGUUUAGGGUUUAAAACCCUAAUGCUGAUUAAAGGAAAAAGUUCAGUUUAGGGUUUAAAACUAUAAUGCUGACUGAAAGGGAAAGGUUCAGUUUAGGGUUUAAAACCCUAAUGCUGACUGAAAGGGAAAAGUUCA
rnacentral:lncRNA from 1 species